UUAUGUAUUGGUUUUACUGUUGAUACUGUUAUUUUCUCUUUAUAUGGUCAGACUACUUUGUCCCGCACAGUCAUUGCCAAAUUUAACUAUGUUUUCCUAUUCUGCAACUAAAAUGUUCAAUUUUUUGGAAUAAGUGUGGUAUGAGGUCCUGUGGAUUCUCUUCAUAUAAGACUAAAUCUCCCUCUCAGACAAAGUAUUCCCCUAUAAAGUAAAAUCAGAUCUAACCUAGAAGAUUUGUCUUAUAUCCAGAACACUCUUGGGUUGUAUUGAGGCUUGAGCAGUGUUUUUCCUUUAGAGGAUAAACACAGACUCAUUCUUACAUAAAACUGAAGAUAAUUUAAGAAAUAGCAGUUACUCUUUUUUUUAUUACUCAAAUGAAUUUAUCACAUCUGUAGUUGUAUAAUAAUCAUCACGAUCCAAUUUCACAGAAUUUACUCUUGAUUCUGUCUUAUGUUGCAAGGUACAGUAAAGAGGAUAGAAUAAAGCCCAAAGUUUUAACACACUAGUCAAUAAAAUGAUUCUGCUGUCUAGAAUCAGCUAACAAUUGGGAAACCGAAUUUCACAUUUAUCCAUACGGACACCUCAAAUUCAGUAAAUUCUUGAAAAUAAAGAAAAGUUAAUACAAUUGUAUGCUAGUAUUCCUCAAUAUUCCAUAAUCAGUGGCAAUAACUAAGAAACUGAAGAAACAAAAUGCUUCAUGUUUAAUCUGCAUGACUCAGGGGUGGCGACACGGCAAAGAAGUCCACGUGGAUGGAUCAUGUCCUCUAUGCUAAGAGGUAAGGUCUGAACCUUGGCUCUGCUGUUUGUUGGCUCUGUGACCUGGGGGAAGCUACUUAACCUCUCUGAGCAUCAACUUCUUCACUUAUAAACGGAGAGUAGUUGGUCCCACUUUAUGGGUUAAGAGGGACACAGUAGGCGUCUGGUAAAUGUUCUUUCACCUUCCUUCCACGAGAGCCUAAAGUAUUUACGGUGAGCUAAAAUGCACUGAAAAGAACAUAAUCACAAUGGACUGAAAACCCCAUCCGUUCCCAUUCCACCUUUGCCUCCCCCAGUUUCAGCCGCCUUGCUGAUCUCUCCCUUAGCUUUCCGCUGGCUCUUCCUCUUCCAGGAAUGCAUGUCCCCCAGGCACCGCAGACACAGCACCUCCUGCAGGCCUUGGCUAGAACAUCACCAUCUCAAUGAGGUCCACCCUGUGUGAAGCUGUAACCCACGCCCUGCUCCUCCCCACCACACACGCUUGAUCACUAUGACCUACCUCUGUCUUUUUUUUCCAUCUCGUACCACUUAACCACACUCUGACUUCUCUUUUCUUUCUUUCUUCUUUUACUUCCUUCUUUCCUUCUUUUCUCUGCUUACUCUUUAGGGUCAGAACACAGUAAUCAACACUAAUAUGAGUACUAUGAGGGCAGGAUUAUUUGUCUGGUUUAUUGAUGCAAUUCAAGGGCCUAGAAUAGGGUUUCAGUGAAUACUUUCUCUUAUUUUGCAUUUUAUAAGUUUAUAUAAAGCUGUAGCAGACAAAGUUAACACUAGAUCUCUCAUUUUAACUGCUGUAUCUGUAAUGAUUUUUAAUGUUCUCUUAAGCUUUUUAAAGCUUCUGGAAUAAAUUUAGAUUCACUGAGAAGUUACAAAGAGAGUACAGAAAGUUCCCGUAUACCCUUCACCCAGCUUCCCCUAAUGAUAACAUCUUACAUAACCAGAGUACAUUUGUCAAAACUAAGAAAGCAGGGUUCAACCCAUACUCUUUUAAACAAAUGAAUUGUUAUAAAACACCAAUCCAUCUAUGGGGUCAUGGUUAUGUAGUCACGUCAUUAACUCAGAAUAGACAGUGACAAGAACAGAAUGUCCUAUUUUCAUUUCACUUCCUCUCUGUUUUCUUUCAUAUUUUGUCAUCUUGGAAAUCCUUUCUGUGCAAUUAACAUGCAUAUUUAAGGGCUUGGGUUGGUAGAUUUGCAAAAGACUUUCCCACCAGAGACAUCCAGAAGACCCAUGAAAAUCUCUGAUAGGAAAGCCUUGAAAACUCUUGUAAAAAUAUCCUAUGACUAUCUACUAAGUCGCCAACUGAGAAGAAAAGCGCCUUCAUUUCUAAAAUAGCAGGAUAAUGCACACAGAAAACAUAUCACAGUAUCCUUAAUGAGAAGCCUGUUUUGUCUCUAACGUGUAAAUAUUUACUCAGUGCCCUAGGAAAUGGCUCUAGAACGCCAAGGUGUUGACAAAUUGCUAAGGACUGUGCUAAACAUCCUCAUUAGCUUAAGCUUAGAUCAAGUAACUCAUGAAGCACCCUCCAUGCUUCAGAGCUUGUCUGCCGGAGAUCUGCACACACCAGCUAUCACUUGUCCCAGUCCACAGCAAAAGCAGCUGGGAAGAGGCGAAAACGUGAUGGCACCUGAUCUGUGACUAAAUUAAGCGUGAUGGGACAGCUGGGACUUUUGCAACUACAAGACAUUGGGCAUUUGCCAGAGCCGGGACUUCUCUUCUGUGAAGCUCUAAGCAUGUUACUAAUCAUGCCUGGUUGUGGUCUGCCUUACCACUGUCCCUCUACCUAAGUCUCCAUUUUACUUGGCAUGGCCUCUAAUCUUGUUUCAGUUCAACUCCUUUAAUUCACUGAUUCAACAAACAUUUAGACACUAUUUGCCAAAGACAUUUACACGUAUUACUUCACUCAAUUCUCACCACGACACAUUACAAAUUCAUUUGCUAAAUGAAAUUACUAAAGUUCAAAGACCUUAAGGAACUUGUCCACAUAAAUAACUACCAGCAGGUGACACGGUCACACGGUCAGUAUUUAAACCCAGACCCAUGUGAUGCUAUGGUCGCUUUCCUUUCAUGCUAUGAGGCUCUGCUGCAUUCCAAGAAAAAUAAAAAGUAAAAAGGUUUUGUUCUUUUCAAAUGAUUUCAUGAAAUCAAAUAAAUUUAAUAAAUUAAUAUUAACUGGAUAAGAGUAUCUUAUGAUUGCAGGUAAACCAAAAUAUUGGCUUCUUGAUAUCACGAAUUUGUCGUGAUGCCACAACAAGAUGUGUGGGCAGGGAAAGGGAAAGCAAAAUUUGCCUUUUCCUCGGUGGAAGGUGGAGAAUUUGAAUUGCUACCUUACAAAGAAGUUCUCUGUACCCCAGUUGCUUAAGAAACCUCAUGCCCACACCUACCCCUGGUUCUCCCAUCUUAGAGCCUUUGUUCAAGAGCUUUCUCCGCCCUUACAUCCUCCCCACACCCUGGGCUUUGACUUGUGCUCCUCUGAUCUUUAAGACGGUGCUCUUCCUUGAUGGCGUCUACUGUGAUGCCUGCGUGCUCAGUACAUGAUGGAUUGAAAGACUGAGUUUCCCAAGGUGGAUGCCCUAAGAACAGGUCACAUAAACUGUAAAUGGUCCAUAUGUUACCACCAUGUGGGGAUGGUCCAAGGGCUGGUGAGGGGCAGUGUUGGGGGAUAAGGCAGCACAGACUGAAAGCAAAGAUGCAUUUUCCUACUUUCUUGAAUUGUUUUGAAUCAUAGUAAUUAUUUAUUCUGAAUUUCAAAUAUCGAAAAAGGAAGUCAUGAAAUGUAUACUUGCCUUAUUAAACUGGGGCUUGGAAAGUAUCUCAUCUCUCUGUGCCUGUUUUUUUCAUCUGUAUACUGAAUACCAGGAAGAACAAUCUUACCUGUAAGGACAGAUUAAGAGCAGCCUUUAACACACUUAGCUCACUAUCUGGCACACAGUAAUCACUCAAAGGAAAUAUUUAUUUUCAUCGUUAUAUUAUUGUUAUUAUUGCUAUUUUCUAAAUUUGGGCUUCCCUCGGGCCUGUUUUUCAUUUUCACAUAAUGAGUGUAACCUUUGAUAUCCUUUCCAGAUAAUAACGUCUAAGAUUUUAAGCCUCUCAAUAUUCAUCCAUUUCAAGGUAACCUAGCAUUAUAUACAAAUUUUAAUUCCCUUAUGUUUCUUCCACUGUUUUUAUAUUUACAUGAUAAUAUUAUGGGUAUAUUUGUAUGUAUGUGUGUGGUAUGUAACAAAAAUUUCAGUCAAUUAUAAACUUAUUUUUUGCAACUUUCUAAAGCAACAAUUUAAACUUUUGGAAUAUUACAAAUAUUUUGGUUUGGUUUUAAGCCGAUUCUGCAAUAAGUUUGAAAGAAAUUGAAGUAGUUUCAGAAAAAUUUAAAUGAGAUAUGUUUUCAACAAUAGUCAUUGCCUUCCUGAGAUAUUCUUAGGUUCUAACUUAUGAUUCUUUAAAGUAAAUAACACUAAAUAUAUCCCCAAAUCUAGUAUGAUAGGAAAAAGUAAUUUUUGAUAUACCAUCAUUUUUCUCUUAUUCCUAAAAUAAUAUAUUCUUACCUUACCUCUUUUCAAAUAGUUCCUAAAUAACAGUUUGCUUUGGAUGAUUGACUAUAGGAAUUUUGCUUAUAUGAUACCUCGAAAGCAUGGCAUUUUAAAUCACAUACUCCUUUCACUUGUAAUGUUUAAAGCGAAUUUCACAUUGUUAGACAAUUUACCCUUUGGAGAUGGAACAAGACAUUGACAUGGAUUUCAUCUGUACCUCCACAACUGAAAAAAUACAGCCAAGGCUUAUUAAAACCAUGCAGGCUUGGCUACCAUGGCUGAAUAGCAAUGGGAAUGAAUACACAUUCUUGAAUAUAUGUAUUCAAGGGAAUGUGCAUGAAAUCAAGGCCAGGGGUAUGGGAUGGCAUAUGGGCACUGAGCAACCUUCUAUCUGACCUCCAGAGAUCUCUGAGAAUGCACUCCAUGGGCUCCUGGCUAUAGUACAGCAACUCUCUCUCCUGCUUCUACCUCCCUGACUACCUGCCUUCUCAGUCCCCUCCUCUGGCCUCUAACUUCCCCAGAAGCCUGUCAGUGAUCCCUAGGGGCCAAUUCUUAUCCCUUCUCUACCUCUAAGUAUUCCCUGGGCCUGUAUAACCAUUCUCCUGGCUUCGACAGCCAGUUCUAUAGUGGUGGACGCCAAAACGUUGUGUCUUACCUGCACAUCCGUCGUGAGUUUCAGAUCUGUACAGCCAGGGACCACUGGAGGUCACUCUUUAGGUAGCCCACAAGCGAACCAAGCUCCAUCCAUCCAAAACAAGCAGUGUCUUUCCUUUGAAGUCCCGUAUUGGCACCAUGUGUCCCAUCUUGCUAAUCACGCUGGAUUCCUCGCUACUUAGUUUCUUUUUCUUUUUUUUUCAAGUAUCAUCUUUGGAGUUCCGUGUGAGUUCAUCACGGCUCAGUGGCUAAUGAACCCAACUAGUAUCCAUGAGGACGACUCAGGUUCACAUCCCUGGCCCUGAUCAGUGGGUUAAGGAUCCCGCGUUGCCUUGAGCUGUGGUGUAGGUGGCAGAUGGAACUCAGAUCCCAAGUUGCUGUGGCUGGGGCAAAGGCCAGCAGCUACAGCUCCAACUGGACCCUAGCCUGGGAACCUCCAUCUGCUGCAGGUGUGGCCCUAAAAAGAC
rnacentral:lncRNA from 1 species